CCUACGGGAGGCAGCAGUGGGGAAUAUUGGACAAUGGGCGAAAGCCUGAUCCAGCCAUGCCGCGUGUGUGAAGAAGGUCUUCGGAUUGUAAAGCACUUUAAGGUGGGAGGAAGGGCAGUAAAUUAAUACCUUGCUGUUUUGACGUUACCGCCAGAAUAAGCACCGGCUAACUCUGUGCCAGCAGCCGCGGUAAU
rnacentral:rRNA from 1 species